GUCAUAAACCUUGACAUUCCCACACAAUGUCCGCCAGAGCACUACAAGUGAAAAACUCAAAACUCAAAGGACUUGACGGUGUCCCACAUCAACCUAGAGGAGCCUGUCCUAUAAUCGAUACCCCACGAAACACCUUACCUCCCCUAGCACUUUCAGCCUAUAUACCGCCGUCGUCAGUCUACCUUAUAAAAGCAACUAAGUAGACAUAAUAGCCCCCCUCCCCAAAAACGUCAGGUCAAGGUGUAGCAUAUGAAGAGGAAAGAGAUGGGCUACAUUUUCUAAAAAGAACAAACUAUCAUCAUCCUGAAAAAAUGACCUACGGUGGAUUUAGCAGUAAGUAAAGUAAGACAGCUAAA
rnacentral:rRNA from 1 species